rnacentral:rRNA from 1 species
UACGGAGGGUGCGAGCGUUAAUCGGAAUUACUGGGCGUAAAGCGCGCGUAGGCGGUUCGAUAAGUCAGAUGUGAAAUCCCCGGGCUCAACCUGGGAAUGGCAUUUGAUACUGUCAGACUGGAGUGUGGUAGAGGGAAGUGGAAUUCCGCAUGUAGCAGUGAAAUGCGUAGAUAUGCGGAGGAACACCAGUGGCGAAAGCGGCUUCCUGGACCAACACUGACGCUGAGGUGCGAAAGCGUGGGGAGCAAACAGG